AAUUAAAUUAAUAAUAAUAAACAAUCUUACAUAUGUGCGAUUAUGUGAGAUGAUGUCAUCCCUGGGAGCCCUGGGCCAUGGUAUCAUCGUAGAGCACGGAGCAUGGAGCAUUGGAAGCAGCGCACAUCUGGCGGCAUCUUCUGCCGAAAUCAAUUUGCUGUAAUUAUGUAACUGUAACUGGCAGCCCCCAAAAAACAAAACCUUCAACCCAUCAUCAAUCAGUCGAGGGACCGUCAUUAGCUCACAUUUCAUCGACCAACUGCGACAGUGAGAUCGGGUUAGCAACUGUAAGCGGCUUUAAAAAUGAAGUGGUGUUAUGGCUUACUCCUCCGUUGGAAAGACACGUUUAGAAGAUUCAGAUUGAGCAAUAGGACUCAUAAUAACUAUUUAAAUAAUAAUUAACUUUAUCCUAAGCCCUGUUGUGGCGUGGAUGACAAAUAUUACUGGUGGAAUCACUGGCAUCGCCGAUUCCGUUGCAUAAUCUCCGCCUUCCGCGACAAGUGACCAAGGCAAAGAGACACCUGCCGAGCUGGCUGGCAACGGGGAUUCAAUUCGCGUCCAAUUUAAAUCGGAGUUGAUGGCGAUGGCGAGUCCGUUCAACCGGCCGCUUCCCCCUGGAAGUCGGGCCACUAGUUGGCCAGGUUUAUGGUCGAUCUAUUAGCGCUGCCUGCGCACCGGGCCAUUUGACUUCAUUUGAUUUCGAGAGCAGAUGCCAGAUGCCAAUUGGCGAUUGCCAUUCAUUUGGCACUUCACCGACACGGUCACCUCCUCCGCAGCCCCGUCCUCAUCCUCGCCAGAGUUCAGUGGCAGCCAUCCACAAUGGAGCCGCAAUGGAGGAGUCAUCUGGGAAAAUUGAUCUUCGGCUUUGCUGUUCGGUGGCCCCCAUUUCUCAUCGACUUCUUGCGGAAUUACCUCUGUGCAAAUUGUGGAAAAUUCGAGGUUGGGCCACUGUGAUUUCCCGCAAUUCCCACCGAUGAGUUGCGGAAUAUUGGGUGGCCACUAUGCGGUGCAGUUCCUUGGGGUCACUUCCAUUGGCAGACAAUCGAACUCCAGACAUCUAAAUCAAACUUUAUUAUUCAGAUCAUCGAAAAUAUGUUGCCAAUAUGUAGCCUAAAUAUAGUUUAAACUACUACUAUUUCUAGGUUCAUAAAAAAUCUUUUCAGGUCGUUUUCAAACAUUUUAUGCUUCAGUUCAUGUUUCUUUUUUAGUCAUUAAUAUACAUAUUUAGGUUUAAAUGAU